rnacentral:lncRNA from 1 species
AACCUCUUCAACCUUGGUAUAAGCGGUAAAUAAUGCAUUGAAUUAAUAGCAAUUUUAUUUCCAGUAGAACCACGCUUAUAUCGAGAGUGCUAACAAAACUUACAGAACUCUAGCUUAGCAUCUUUCUUAAAGUAUAACAUGCAGCCAUUUUCACAACAAUCAAUUCUAACCGAGGAGAGACCUAACUUUGACACCAAUCUUUUUUCCUUAUAGAAAGAAUCAGAAACCUCCAAGCCGGGGUCAACUAACAGCAUGCAAUCUUUGUAGAAAUUGCCCGCUUCGCUAUUAGGAACAUCUUCAACAUAUUUCCUAAACUCAACCCCAUGUUGCAUCCCAAAAGCAUCGUGCACCAUUUCUGUCACCCUAGUGUCUUGAUAUUCAUUAUGCCCUACAGACCUACUACUUUCUCCAAUAAUGAAGUUAUUUUGCGCAACAUCCCCAGGAAAUGCCACGCAAUCUUAAAAAGUCCUCGUAAAACCCCUUUUUAUAAAGAUGUUCCUUUACAUCAUCUUCGCUUACAAGAUUUAUCCCAUCACAUCUAACACAAGGACAAUGAAUAACUCGAUCACGUGUCCACAUAUCAAGUGUCUUAGCAUGUUCAACAAAUCUUUUGACACCUUCAAUAAAUUCCUCCCUAAUACCCAUUCUAUGAUAAUUAUUCCGUUGAUAUAUCCAGCUAUAAUCAGGUUCCAUCUACACGAUCAAUCAGAUUCAACUAAUUAUACCAAGUCACAAAAAUUUAAUCAUUUUCAAGCAACUAAGUCACCUACCAAACCACAUUCAAAACAAAAAAUUUUCCUUUAAAGUUCCUACACUUAACUAUUUUCAACCAACUAAGUCACCUACCAAACCACAUUCACAACAAAAAAAUUCUCUUUAAAGUUCCUACACUUAAUCAUUUUCAAGCAACUAAGUCAUCAACCAAACCACAUUCAAAACAAAAAUAUUUCCUUUAAAGUUCCUUCACUUAACCAUUUUCAAACAACUAAGUCACCUACCAAACCACAUUCAAAACAAAAAAUUUUCCUUUAAAGUUCCUACACUUAACCAUUUUCAAGUAACUAAGUCACCAACCAAACCACAUUCAAAACAAAAAUAUUUCCUUUAAAGUUCCUACACUCAACCAUUUUCAAACAACUAAGUCACCUACCAAACCACAUUCACAACAAAAAAAUUCUCUUUAAAGUUCCUACACUUAAUCAUUUUCAAGCAACUAAGUCAUCAACCAAACCACAUUCAAAACAAAAAAAUCCCUUUAAAGUUCCUAGACUUAACCAUUUUCAAGCAACUAAGUCACCAACCAAACCACAUUCAAAACAAAAAAAUUUCCUUUAAAGUUCCUACACUUAACCAUUUUCAAGUAACUAAGUCACCAACCAAACCACAUUCAAAACAAAAAAAAUCUCUUUAAAGUUCCUACACUUAACUAUUUUCAAGCAAUUAAGUCACCUAACAAACCACAUUCAAAACAAAAAAAAAUCCUUUAAAGUUCCUACACUUAACCAUUUUCAAGAAACUAAGUCACUAACCAAACCACAUUCAAAACAAAAAAUCUCCUUUAAAAUUCCUAGACUUAACCAUUUUCAAGCAACUAAGUCACCUACCAAACCACAUUCAAAACAAAAAAAUUCCCUUUAAAGUUCCUACACUUAACCAUUUUCAAGUAACUAAGUCACCAACCAAACCACAUUUAAAACAAAAAAUUUCCUUUAAAGUUCCUACACUUAACCAUUUUCAAGCAACUAAGUCACCUACCUAACCACAUUCAAAACAAAAAAAAUUUCUUUAAAGAUUCUACACUUAACCAUUUUCAAGCAACUAACUCACCUACCAAACCAUAUUCAAAACAAAAAAAAUCCCUUUAAAGUUCCUAGACUUAACCAUUUUCAAGCAACUAAGUCGUCAACCAAACCACAUUCAAAACGAAAAAUCCCCUUUAAAGUUCCUACACUUAAUCGUUUUCAAGCAACAAAGUUACCAACUCAACCACAUUCAAAAUAAAAAAUCCCCUUUAAAGUCCCUACACUGAACCAUUUUCAAAUGACUAUGUCGCCAAAAAAACAACAAUAAGACCGACAAGAUGUCAACAAUAAUGCUAGUGAAUCGAACAAGGCCACACACGGCUUCACUAGACUUCAAUAUGAACAAUAACGAGAAGACAACAACAAUGCUAGUUAAUCGAAUAAGGCCACACAUGGAUUCACUAGACUUCAAAAUGUACAGUAACAAGACUUAAUUAUAAGAAAAUAAAGACAAAUCAACUUACCUAAACUUGGCGUAAAUUAAAGUGAAAGAGACAAGCGGUCACCCAAAAAAAUAGCAAAGCAAUCUUUUUAUCAAAUUCAAAAUCUGUCAAAUAGAAAAAUUAUUACAAAGAAUACUCUUUCGCUUAAAUAAUUACAAUAACUUAGUAAAGGAAUAGGAAUAAGAUUUUUCCCCAAACCUACUAAACAAUUAAUAAGUAAAAUGGAGAAAUAAGUGUCAAGACUAACCAAUUAGGUAAUUCAAAAUCAAAUUAAUGUUGGAACAAGCCAAGAAUUAGCUAAUUCACAUCUCAAAUUCCAAAAAUUAGCUAAAACCAAGCUAAAUAAAAUAAAUAUCCAAACCCUAGAACUCAAACCACAACCAUUUGACGAAAUUAAGACUAAGAUAUUUGUAUGUAGACGUUUAACAUUUCUAGAUAUUAAAAAACGAGUUUGUGGAUAUAAGAAUAAGCUAAAUUUAUUUAAUGAAAGUUAAUUGUUACCUUGCCAAAAAUUGAAACUUAGGAUGGAAUAGUUCCUUGAAAAUGGAUUAAAGCCAAAAUUGAAAGUUAGGAUGGAGUACAAACUUUCUUGAAAGAGAAAGAACAAUGGAGACUAGGUGUUUAUUGUUAAAGUGUGAGAUUUGGAGGUUUUGGGGGGUUGGUGACUGUUUUGGACGGGAAAUGAGUAAGGUUUUAGAGUGAUUUUGUGUUUUAUUAUGUAUUACGGGUCGGGUCGGGUUAAAGAAUUAUAUUAUUUUUUUCAAUUAUUACGAAAACCGACCACAUGUGGUCGGUUUUUGUAAUAAUUAAAAAAAUUAUUUUUGAAAUUAAAAUUUAAUUAAUAAAUUAUAAAAAUAAGUUAAUAAAUUAAAAUAAUUUUUUAACAAAUUAAAAUUUUAAUAAAUUCAAUAAUAUUUAUAACAACAUUCAAUUAAUUUAAUACAAUUCGUAUACAUAUAAAUACACAGUACAUACACUGUGUAUGGUACCGGGACAACAUCCAAUUAAUUUAAUACAAUUCGUACAUAUAUAAAUCAGAUAAUAGUUAUUUUAUCAUCACAUUAACACGAGUAGUAUAUUUCCUCAAUUGUAUAAUAAUAUCAAUGAUUUUUUCAAAUUACGAUAAAUUUUUGGUUAAUUAGCUUUUAAACAGGAUAUAUAUAAAUAUAUAUACCUCGUAAUACUAGUCUUACGUUAUUACAACUUCAACAACAUACGCGUGUCAACAUUGACCCAAAAUAGUAUAUCUAUUUCCUCAAUAGUAUAAUAUAUAUCAACGUCUCAUUCAAAUUAUACUGAUAUAUACAUUUAGUUAUCUAGCUUUCGAUUACUACAUAUGUCACUACACAAGAUAUACGUAUAUAUACAUAUAUUCAAUUGUCUAUCAACUUUCACAUACGUACUAUAAAUAUCACAUACACGAUUAUACUACCCCAUAAUACUAUAUAUACAGCGUAUUUCACAAAGACUCAGAUGAAUUAUAGAUUACAUUAUCUUAAGUAUGUCAUUAGUAUACCUUCACCGUAUAAUAUGUAUAUACUAUCUAUAUAUAUAUACACACAUACACACAUACACAUAUAUACACACUAUCGACUUAAUCAAAUUCUAAAUACGUACUAUAUAUAUCACAUAUGCACACAAGUAUAUUAUCCAAUAAUAUAAUGCAAUGUGUUUCUUAUACAUACUCAGACGAGUGAUCGAUUAAUUAUUUAUAUAUAUAUAUACAUCAUUAUGACCAAAAUAGUAACAUAAGAUCAUUAUCUCAAUGGUAUGAUAUAUAUGUGUGUAUAUAUAUACCCACACAUAUUCAUUAUACAAAGAUUAUGCAUGUUUAACAUCAUUUAAUGUAUAUACAAGAAAAAUAUUUAUUCCAUGUACUGAAACAUAAGUAAAAGAUAUUUAUUAUGUUUAACGUAAUUUUUUUUUAUUUUAUUUGAUAUAUUUUUUAGUGUAAUUUUUUUCACAAAAUUUAAGAAUGAUUGAUUUUUAUUAUUAUUAUACUGGUUAUCGACUACGUGUGAUCAGUGUAAUUUUAAAAAUUUAUAUAUAAAUUACAUUACAUAUAUAAUUAUAUUUAAUGAAAAAAUAUAUAUAUAUAUUUGAUUACAUAUAUAUAUAAUUAUUGGUUACUAAAAAUUAUUUACUUUUUAAUUUUUCUCUAUGGCUUGGUGAACUAAGUUAAGACCAAACAAUCUAGUUUCACCUGCCUCAAACCACCUAAUAGGAGACCUAUACCUCCUACCAUAAAGAGCCUCAAAAAGAGCCAUUUGGUGCUAGAAUGAUAAUUAUUAUUGUAAGCAAACUCAACAAAAGGUAAAUGGUCAACCCAACUAUCUUUAAAGUCAAUCAUGCAGGCCCUUAGCGUAUCCUCCAAAGUCUGAUAGUGUGUUUCGCUCGUCCAUCCAUUUGAAGGAGGAAAGUGGUCCUAAGGUUUACCUGAGUACCAAAACCUUUUUGAAACCUACACCAGAAAUGAGAUGAAAACUGCAUACCUCGAUCUAAAAUAAUGGACACCAGCACUCCAUGCAACUUAACAAUCUUUUGAAUGAACAACUUAGCAUAAUCCUCUCCCGAGUAAUUAAUUCUCACAGGCAAGAAGUGAGUAGACUUAGUCAUCUUAUCCAUAAUGACCUAAAUAGAAUCAUACUGGCUAUGAGACUAUGUAAGACCAGUAAUAAAAUCCAUAUUAAUUAUCUCCCACUUUCAUAUAGGCAACUCUAUCUCUUGAGACAUACCACCAGGCCUCAAAUGCUCAACCUUGACUUGCUAACAAACCAUACACUUAGCCAUAAAGUUUGCCACAUUCCUCUGCAUAUUAUUCCACCAGUAGAUUUUUUUCAAGUCAUGAUACAUCUUAGUCGAACCCGAAUGAACUGUAUAUAUAGACUCAUGAGCCUCAACCAAAAUUCUUUCCUAUAACUCAUCAAUAUCAGGAACGCACAACUUUCUUUGAUACCUCAACAUACUAUCUACCCUAAUCUCGAAAGCCAUAACCUUUUACUGACCCACAUCAUCAAUAAUCUACAUAAGUAUGGGAUCCAAAGCCUGCUUCUCCUUUACCUCAGGACCAAAAAAUGAUUUUAACCAACUUUCUGAGCAAUCUUUCCUCCAUCCUCAGAGUCCAAAAGACGAACCCCUAAGUUAGCCAGCCUAUGAAUAUCCUUCACCAAUCCAAUUUUCUCCUCAUCAACAUAAGACAAGCUCCCCAUAGACAACCUGCUAAGAGCAUCAAUAAUAACAUUAGAUUUAACUCGAUGGUAGUGAAGGCUCAUGUCAAAAUCCUUAAGCAGUUUGAGCCACCGCCCCUACCUAAGAUUCAAUUCCUUCUACGUAAACACAUAUUGCAAGAUCUUAUGGUCUAAAUAGAUAUCUAUAUGUACUCCGUACAGAUAAUGGUGCUAGAUUUUCAAAGCAAAGACCAUAACCGCCAACUCUAGAUCAUGAGUUAGAUGAUUCUUCUCAUGAAACUUAAGCUGCCUGGAAGUAUAGGCUACAACAUUACCAUGUUAAAUCAAAAUACAAUCCAAUCCCACACGUGACACAUCACAAUACCCCACAAACCCAUCAGUACCCUUGACUAGGGUCAAAACUGGCGCAUGAGUCAACUUAUCCUUUAAAUUUUGAAAACUACCCUCACAAGCAUCGAAUUAUAAAAAUUUAACCUUCUUCUAAGUUAAGUUCAUCAGUAGAGUAGAAAAAGAUGAGAAACUCUCUACAAGCCUCCUAUAAUACCCAGCCAAGCCCAAGAAACUCCUAGUAUCGAUUGGAGUUAUGGGUCUAGGCCAUUUCUUAACUGACUCAACUUUUAGUGGAUCCACCUUGAUCCCCUCACUAGAAACAACAUGUCCAAGAAAAGUUAUAAAACUUAACUAAACUCGCACUUAGAAAAUUUGCAUAUAAUUUCUGGUCCUUAAGAGUCUGCAACACAAUUCGAGGGUGAUUGACAUAAUCUUUCUCACUUUUGGAGUACACCAAAAUGUCAUCAAUGAAGAUAAUAACAACUAAAUCUAGGAAUUAUCUAAACACUCGAUUCAUAAGAUCCAUGAAAGCAGUUGUAGCAAUAGUCAACCCAAAUAACAUAAUAAAAAACUCAUAAUGGCCAUAUCGGGUCCAUAAAUCCAUCUUGGGAAUAUCAAUCUAUCUAACUUUCAACUGAUGGUAUCCCAAAUGAAGAUCAAUCUUAGAGAAACAUAUAGCACCCUGAAGCUGAUUGAAAAAGUCAUCAAUCCUAGGAAGAGGGUUCUUAUUUUUUACUGUCAGCUUAUUCAACUAAUGAUAUUCUAUACACAUCCGAAGAGACCCAUCCUGAUUUUGGAUGAAAUAUAUAGGAGAAUCCCAUGGAGAAACACUAGGAUGAAUGAAACUCUUAUCUAGAAGAUCUUUUAGCUGCUUAUUUAGUUUGUUUAGCUCAGUCGGAGCUAUCCUAUAAGGAGAAAUAAAAAUAGGAUGAGCAUCCAGAAGAAGAUCAUUCCCAAAAUCUCUUUACCUAUUAGGAGGGAUUCUAAAAAGAUUAUCGGGAAAAACUUUAGGAAUCAUUAACCACAGGGACAGAUUGUAUAAAAGGACUUUCGGAGUAAGAAUCCUUAACCCAAACUAAAUGAUAUAGACACCCCUUGAAAAUUAACUUUUGAGCUCCAAGAUAGGAAAUAAACCUCCCUUUGGGUAAUAAGGAACUCUCUUCCCAUUCAAUCACCGGUUCAUUAAGAAAAUAGAAACUGACCUUUUGGAUCUUAUAAUCCAGAGAAGUAUAGAACUAAUAAAUCCAAUCCAUCCCCAAGAUCACGUCAAAAUCAACCAUAUCAAGCUCUACCAAAUCCACCAAUGUCUCCCUAUGAAAGAUGGAUACCACACAACCCCUAUAGAUUUUUCUAGAAAUAAUAGAAUCACCAACUGGAGUAGAAAAAAAAAGGGACCAAUAAUAAUUUCAGGACCAAAACCAAGGUGUACAGCCAUAUAUAGGGUCACAUAAGAUAGGGUGAAACCCAAAUCAAGUAAACAAUAAACAUCAUGAGAGAAGAGUCGUAACAUACCAAUGAUAAUAUCUAGAGAUGUGUAAGAUUCCUGAAGAGCAGCAAGAGCAUAGAGAUAAUUCCAACCAGUGUCAGUACUCAAAAUGGUUUCCUUAGGUGUAGGAGCCAAAUAGGUGGCAACCGAAACCUUAUUAGCUCUAGUGGAAACUUUAGCUAUAGGAUAAUAUCUCUGCAGAUGACUAGGCUGACCAUAAUUGAAACACAAGUUCCUUUCCUCCUUAUAGUAACCACAGUGAAGCUGCCUAAAAAAUCAAUAAGGAGGAUACAGUGGGGUUGACUGAACUCUACUGGCCUAAGACUAGGCACCCUGUGCCCUAGGACCACUACUAGCCUGAAAAUGAUGAUCACCUAAAGGCUUAGGAUAGGUAGCACUAGCUGUAAAUAAGAAUUUCCCCAAUUCUUCUUCUUAGUCCACAGCCUACUAUCUCUUUCACUAUUUUGCUGACUCGUACCCUACUUUGAAUACCUAAACUUUAUAUUUUGUCGCUCUUUUAUCUCUACUUGUUUCUUUUUUUCAUCAUCCACCGGCUGUAUAUAAACCACUAGCCUGGAGAUGUCCAUUUCUGUAACGCCAUAUAUUCUUAGCCCUUAAAUUUUCUUAAGCUUUGAGCUCACUACCUUGAUUAUGACUUGACUAUAUGAGUCAUAUGAUGUCUUAAAAUUCAGGUGGCCCUAUUUAUAGAUAUUUCAGUAGAUGGUGUUUAGGUAUCUGCCUUUGUUACGACUUUAGGGAUACGAGUUGUAAGGACUGGUGACGGGUCAUUAGGAUAAGCCAUAAUAUAACGCCCCAAAUCUUGCACCCGAAAUGCUACAUGGAUCUCAUAACCCCAAAGUUCAUAAACUAACCCAUGACUUAUAUCUGUACUUGAACACUACAUAAUAUACUGUAUAAAUGCAAAAAUGAAGGUUGUAAGGCUGUAAGGUUCAAGGAUCUGAGACAUAAUAUCUGUUAAAAUAUAGCAUCUGGGUGGGGUAUGAAAUACCCAAAACAACUAAAAUAACUAUCUAAACAUGCUAGUCCAAAAGCCUCUAAACUGUUUGAAUAAGGAGUUGAUGGGAUAUGUCUCCAACUAACUCCAACUACUGAAAUAAAUUAAUUAAUCAGAUAAUAAAGUAUUUGUCAUGUCCUCAAAGGAUGAGGACUCACUGCUAACUCUGACUGUUGAGACUAGAAUGCUACUGAUGCUCUGGAGCUCGUGCUUCUGAACCUAUGGUAUAAAAUAUCAUAGCGCAAAUGCGUCAGUAUGUUUGAAUGUACUGGUAUGCAUGUGAGGUAGGCUGAAUACAAAGGGUUCACAUGCAUGCACUAUACUAACUGACUGAAUAACGUAAACGUGAGAAUAUAUGCAUGAAUACAGAACCACUAUAACUGAGUUUGUGAUAAUAUGAUUGUCGAAUUUGAGUACUGAUAACAUAAGAUACUAAUAAUUGUAUAACUGAAAUAACUAAUAUGGAGUGACUGUAUCUGACAAUCUAGGUUCUGAUAGAACUAGCUGAGUUCUGUGUUGUUUUGAGUUGACUGUAUCUGACAAUCUUGAAAUUCUAAAGAACUAUCUGAGUUCUAUUAAUGAGACUGAAUGACUAUAUCUGAUAGUCCUGAUCUGUAACUGAAAUUAUGGGAAGUAAUCAUCUAACUGACAUGCCCCAAAUAACACAAUAUAGCUGAGUUCGGGUCCAAUCUAUAACCCCAAUUGGAAGGGUGUCAAUACCGCACCACUGGUAAGGACAUCUGUGAGUAACCCUUAUAUAACAAGUAACUCUAGUAAGAACGGUGGGAACCCUCAUAUAACAGGUUAUGAUGUCUCAACCUAUUUUGGCUACGUAGUUCUAGAACAUAAGAAUUUGCUUCUAAGAAUCACACCCUGAUAUAACAGGUGGGUUCCCAUCCUUGGGUUUACUUGGUGCUAAUUUCUACUCCCAUCUGAAUAAACACUGGACAUGAUUAACUAAACUGACUGGACUGAGUUAACUGAGUUCCAUUGACUGACAGAAUACUACUGAGAUUAUUGAGUUUUUCCUGAGUCAUUAGAUUGACUGAAUUCUAUGGAUCAUGGCUUGACUAAGAGUAUCUUGAAUUUUAGGCACACAGCUAAAUUUUCGAGUACAAGUACCCCCAGGACUCGAUAGAAAGAAACUGACAAAGCAUGACUUUCUUGAAUACACGACCAACAUCACAAUCCAUAAUACAAUAAGUUGGAGAUUUCAUGAAGUACAAGUUCUAAAGCAACACAAUGGCUACACAUAUAUCCAUAAUUCAUUGACUAAGAUAUUUCAUCAAACACUAGACAUGCAUAACUUGUACAUAAAUGGGGAUUUCAUAUUAUCAUACUAGUAUGGAACUUUUUCUUCACAUAGGCAUUUAAUCGAACACAUGGGAGCAGGCUUUGGUUAUACAAUCAUCAACACAUCUAAUAAUCAUGGAUAUAUCAAUCAAUGUGUAAACUUAAGGGUUUAUCAUGAUUAUUAUGCAAAUCACCACAUCCUAGGGUCAAUCAUUGGAAUAUGUAAUUUCAAACAUGAAUCAAAACUCCACAACAUCAUGAACAUGAAUUUCAAUUCAAUUUAAAUCAUGAACAUUCAUAAAUACACAAAUCUUGAAUUUUGAAAAGAGAUUAUUGAGCUUCAUGGGUGAAAGGGACCCAUGAAUCAACACAUGACAUUUCUUGAUUGUGAGUUUCUUGAAGUCCUUGGACUUGAAGAACUUGAAUCUCUUAGUUUCUUGAAGAAGGAUUUGGAUCUUGUUCUUGGGGAUUAUCUUUGAGAGAAAACCCUAAUUUGAUGUUGUAGAUGGAUAAUGAACUUACGAACCUUGAUCUGAUAUAAUUAGAUAUUAAAACGGGUGAAAAAAGAUCCAAAUACCCUUUUAAAAUGACUUUAAAAUAACUGAAUAAACUAUGUGAUGGUGGGUGCGAUGGUAUAUCUCUAGGUCGACAGUCCGUCUGUCCUGACCAUCGUACCUGGGCAGAAUAGGGAUUCACUGCCUCUGCUGUGAUGGCUUGGACGACGGUCCAUCGCUAGCUCUAUGGUCUGUCGGCCUGAUCCAUUGCCCUUUGGCAGAAGGUGGUCUCACUGCCUCUACUGCGAUGGUUUGGGCGACUGUCCGUCGCUAGCUCGACGGUUCAUCGCUAGCUUGACGAAAUUGGUAUCGUUGGAAAGCUAAUUCAAUUUCCCACAUGACAAAAAAUAAAAAUCUUAAAAUUUCCACAUAUAUAAAAGUGGAUUCAUCUUUCAAAGUAAGUUUCUAACAUGCUUGGGAUGAUUUUAAGCUAAGUAGAAGUAUGGGGUAUUACAAUAUCUCUCCCUUGAGAACAUUCAUCCUUGAAUGAGACUGAGUGAGAGGGGAGAAGAUAAACUAAUGUACAUACUGAACAUGAAUAACUAGAACAUGAUCUCAUGACUGACAUGACUGAUAACUGAAUAUAUCAUACAGAACAUGCAUAUCUGAUACAUGUGUAACUGAUUUAUGACUGUAUGACUGAAUUACUGAUAAGAUGAGUUUCUCAUCAAACUGAACAUACAUAUCUGAUACAUGAAUACAUUACUGAACUGACACAUAAAUGGAUGAAUGACUAUGCAAUGGUACCUAAUUCUAAGUUUAUAAUGGAAUUCUGAGCAUGAAAUGGAUAUCAAGCUUGUCACUGAAAUCUGAGCAUGAAACUGAAAAGCUUAAGAAGAACUAUUACCUUACGCUAGAUCUGAGUUUUCAGAGAAGAGUUGAGGAUACUUGGUCCGCAUUUCUGCUUCUGCUUUCCAAGUAGCUCCAUCAACGGACUAAUUCCGCCAAAAUACUUUGACUAAAGGGACUUUUCUGUUCCUCAGUCUACGAGUCUGGUAGUUAAGAAUUUCGACUGGAAUCUCUUCAUAAAAGAGGUUGUUCUAAACAUCUAUGCUCUGAAUAGGGACUACAACUGAUGGGUCACCUAUACACUUCUUGAGCAAAUAUACAUGGAAGACUAGAUGAACUGAGGCUAGAUCUGAAGGCAAUUUGAGCUCAUAAUCUACCUUGCCAAAGCGACUGAGAAUCUUGAAGGGACCGACAUAUCGGGGAUUAAGCUUUCCCUUCUUAUUGAAUCUCUUCACUCCUUUCAUGGGAGAGAUCUUUAGAUAGACAUAGUCACCAACCUUGAACUUGAGGUCCUUUCUACGCACAUCUACAUAAGACUUCUGUUGGCUCUGAGCAGCCCGAAGUCUUUGUCUGAUCAACUGGACUUUCUCUAAGGCAUCGAAUAUUAAGUCAGGCCGUAUGACUAAGGCCUUACUAACUUCGAACCAACCAACUGGAGAUCUGCACUUCCUACCAUAGAGAGCUUCGAAUAGAGUCAUCUUAAUACUAGAAUAAUAGCAGUUGUUGUAUGCAAACUCAAUCAAAGGCAAGUGGUCAUCCCAACUACCCUUGAAAUCAAUUGCACACGCUUAUAACAUAUCUUUUAAAGUCUGAAUAGUCCUUUUUUCUUGACUAUCUGUCUGAGGAUUAAAGGUUGUACUGAGAUAAACUUGGGUACCAAGACCCUUUUAGAACGUUUUCCAGAAAUAAGAGGUGAACUGGGUACCUCUAUCUGAUAUAAUAGAUAACAGAACAUAGUGCAAUCUGACCAACUCUCUGAUGUAGAGUUUGGCAUAAUCCUCAGCUGAAUAAGAGGUAUAGACUAGAAGAAAAAGAGCUGACCUAGUCAUUCUAUCUACAAUGACCCAGACUGAAUCAUGCUGGCGAUGAGUACGAGGCAAACCUAUCACAAAUUCCAUGUUCAUGUCUUCCCACUUCUAAGUAGGAAUACUGAACUACUGCAUGGACCCACUAGGCUUCUGAUGCUCUAUCUUAACCUACUGACAUGUAGAACACUUAGCCAUAAACUCUACAACAUCUCUUUUCAUCCCACUUUACUAAUAGAUCUCCCCUAAUUCACGGUACAUCUUAGUAGCCCCUGGAUGAAUCGAGUAGCACGCACCAUGUGCUUCUACAAGAAUUCAUUGCCUUAAGUCAGCUACACUUGGAACACACAGAUAACCCUGAUAACGUAGAACACCAUCUCCUCCUUGAGAAAAAACCUCUACUUUCUGAUCUUUGACUGACUCUUUCAACUUGACUAGACUGGGAUCUCUAUCUUGCUUUUUUUUCACCUUGAAAACUAGAGAUGAUUCUGAACUACUCGACCCAUAUGUCACCCUCCUCUGAAUCGACUAAGCGAACACUUAGUCUGGCAAGCUGAUGGAUUUCUUGAGCUAAAUUCUUCUUACUAUCCUCAACAUGAGCAACACUACCCAUAGACAAUCUACUGAGAGUAUCGAACACAAUAUUGGCCUUGCUCAGAUGAUAAAGGACACUUAUCCCAUAAUCUUUCAAGAGCUCUAACCACCUUCUCUGAUAAAGAUUGAGAUAUUUAUGAGAAAAGACAUACUAAAGGCUCUUAUAAUCUGUGAACACAUCUACAUAAACUCUAUAUAGAUAAUGCCUCCAAAUCUUCAAGGCAAAGAAUACGGCUUCUAACUCAAGAUUAUGAGUAGGAUAAUUCUUCUCAUAGAGUUUAAGCUGUCUGGAGGCGUAUGCUAUGACCUUACCAUGUUGCAUGAGGACACAACCCCAACCUAUUUUGGAUGCAUCACAAUACACUAUAAACAAAUCAAAAUCAUCUGGAAGAGCCAAAAUUAGAGCUGAGGUGAGUCGAGUCUUCAACUCUUAAAAACUCUUCUCGUAAGGAUCUGACCACUGAAACUUAACUUUCUUCUGAGCCAAUAUAGACAUAGGGGAUGAAAUAGAAGAAAAUCCCUUAACAAACCAUCUGUAAUAGCCAGCCAAACCUAAGAAACUACUGAUAUCUGAUGGAGAGACAGGUCUAGGCUAGUUUCUUACCACUUCAGUCUUUUGAAGAUCUACUGUAAUGAUAUCACCAGAAAUGAUAUGGCCAAGGAAUACUACUGAACUUAUCCAAAACUCGCACUUACUGAAUUUGGCAAACAACUAAUGAUCUCUGAGAGUCUGAAGAACUAUUUUGAGAUGGUUUACAUGAUUACACUCACUACGAGAAUAUACCAAAAUAUCAUCUAUGAAGACUAUGAUGAACAUAUUCAAGUACUUCUUGAACACCCGGUUCAUCAAGUCCAUGAAAGCUACUAGGGAAUUGGUAAGACCAAAGGACAUGACUAGGAAUUCAAAGUGACCAUACCGAGUAUGAAAAGCUAUUUUCAGUAUGUCACAUUCUCUGACUCUGAGACGAUGAUACCCUAAUUUGAGGUCUAUCUUAAAAAAAUAGCUGGCACCCUAAAGUUGAUCAAGUAAGUCAUCGAUUCUGGGAAUAGGAUACUUGUUCUUGACCGUAACUUUAUUAAGCUGACAGUAGUCUAUACACAUUCUAAGAGAAUUGUCUUACUUGCACUUGAAUAAGACUGGUGUGCCCCACGGGGACACGUUGGGUCUGAUGAAUCCCUUAUCUAAGAGAUCCUUCAACUGCUCUUUCAAUUCCCUGAGUUCUAUUGGUGCCAUUCUGUACGGUAGAAUAAAUAUAGGCAGAGUAUCUGGAAGAAGAUCAAUGUCAAAGUCUAUUUCCCUUUAGGGAGGAAUUCCUGGAAGAUCUUUAAGAAAGACAUCUGAAUAUUCAUUCACGAAUGAGACUGAAUCAAGACUGGGAGUUUCAAAACUAGUGUCCUUAACUCAAACAAGAUGAUAGACACAUCCUUUAGAUAUCAGUUUAUGUGCCCGAAGGUAGGAAACAAGCUGACCUCUGAAAGAUGGAGUACUACCCCUCCACUUUAGGACAGGUUUACUCAGAAACUAAAACUGGACUUUUGUUUCUGCAGUCGACUGUGGCAUAGUAGGAAUGAAGUCAAUCUAUGCCGAGAAUGAUAUCAAAAUCAUUUAUAUCUAAUUUGACUAAGUCUGCUAAAGUGACUUUAUGAAAUAUCAUAACCGGGCAGUUCCUGUAUACCCACCAGGUUAUGAUAGUUUUAACCACAGGGGUAGAGACUGAAAAGGACUCUUCUAGAAUUUUGGGACUGGUUUUGAAAUUGCCUGCUAUAUAAAGAGUAUCAAAAGACAAAGAUGCUCUUGGAUAUAGCAAAGCAUAAAAAUGCACAUGAAAGAUCUGUAACGUACUAGUAACUACAUCAGGAGAAUUUUCUUGAUCCUGUCGGGACUGAAGAGCAUUGAGCCUAUUUGGGCAUUGUCCACUAGUAGUGCUGGAGGUGGCACCCUGCUGGUUUGGGUGACCAGACUUAGCUGAGGAAUGGUUCUGCUGACUCUAAGGACCUGGCUGAGGACAGUCUCUAGCUCUAUGUCUUGGCUUGCCACAUCCAAUAAAAAUACCACUGCCAGCUCUGCAAAUACCUUGAUGGUUUUUGCCAUAAGUCUGGUAAUGAGAACAGGUGCAGGCACUACUAACACUGCCCUGAGACUUAGAUCCUGGCGCUCUAUCUCUGUUACCGUCUCUGAAUCUAGGAGAUGGAGCACUAGCUAAAGAAGGAGAUGGAACUGCUGACUUAGGAAAAAACGGAUAACGGUUUCCUUCUUCUGAUUUGGGCUGAGCAAAGUUGAAACUACCUGUCCUUUCUCUUUUAUUCUGCUUCUCCCUUAUCUUAAUCUUUUGCUCCUCUAUCAGUUGAGCAUCAGUCAUAAGCCUGGCUAUGUUUAUGUUACUAUUCAACAUUGUGGACCUGCACUCAUUGACCACACUAUCAUUUACCCCAGAGAUAAACUUACUCAUCUUAGCCCUACUAUCUGUAACCACAUGAGGAGCAUAUCUGGCUAAUUGAGUAAACUUAAGAAAAUACUCUUUCACCAUUAUGUUGCCUCGUAUGAGGUUGAUAAAUUCUAACACUUUAGCUUCUCUCAGCUCUAGGGGAAAAAAUCUAUCUAAGAAGGCGGUAGCAAAUUUCUCCCACUCAAUAGGCCCUGUAUCUACAACCCUCUCUGACUUUCACUAUUGUACCAAGUGUGAGCAAUAUCUUACAAUUGAAAUACAGCUAGCUUUGUACUCUCACUAGAAGUAACCCCCAUGAUAUCCGUAACCUUCUAAACCUGGUCAAGAAAUUCCUAAGGGUCCUUAUCUAAAUUAGACCUAAAAAGGGAUGGAGGAUUCAUUUGGGUGAAUUCCCGAAUCCUGGCUACAACUGAAUUAGCCACUGUGUUGGCCAGAACUAUAGCAGGUCAUUUAUUCUGACCUGCAGCUGACUGAGAACGAGUAGUGAAUGCAGCUCUAAACUCUGCAUGAGAAACAUGUUCGCCCAAAUAAUCUUCAGGCUGAGGGAUUGGCUGAUUCUCAUUUUUUCUUUUAAGAUGCAGGUUUUGUAGAAGAAAGAUAAAUGAAUUAGACUGAGAGAUUGACUUGAGAUUGUGCUCACUGGCAUGACAUGAAUACUGAAAGAAGGGAAACUGUACCUAAAACAUCUCAUAGCCUCCUGUACAUAAAUGUGGCGUACAACACACCCAUAUACAAGACUCUACUAGAUGCGAAUUUCAAACUUCCUAGAACUCUAUUGAACCUUAGGCUCUGAUACCAAGUUUGUAACCCCCCAAAUUUGGCAUCCAAAAUGCUACAUGAUGCUCAUGACCUCGAAGGACCACAAGCCAACCCAUGACUAAUAUCUGUACCUGAACACUGCAAAUAUACUAUAUAAAUACGGAAAUAAAGGUUGUAAGGCCGUAAGGUUCAAAGAUCUGAGACAUAAUAUCUGUUAAAAUAUAAUAUCUGGGUGGGGUAUGAAAUACCCAAAACAACUAAAAUAUCUGUCUAAACAUGCUAGUCCAAAAGCCUCUAAACUGUCUGAAUAAGGAGUUGAUAAGACAUGUCCCUAACUAACUUCAACUACUGAAAUAAAUUAAUUAAUGAGAUAAUAAAGUAAUGGUCAUAUCCUCGAAGGAUGAGGACUCACUGCUAACUCUGACUGCUGAGACUGGAAUACUACUGAUGAUCUGGAGCUCAUACUUCUGAACCUAUGGUAUAAAACACCAUAUCGCAAAUGGGUCAGUACGUUUGAAUGUACUUGUAUGUAUAUGAGGUAGGAUGAAUGCAAAGGGUUCACAUGUAUGCACUAUACUAACUAACUGAAUAAUAUGAACGUGAGAAUACAUGCAUGAAUAUAUAAUCACUAUAACUGAGUUCGUGAUAAUAUGAUUACUGAAUCUGAGUACUGAUAACAUGAGAUACUGAUAACUGUAUAACUAAAAUAACUAAUAUAGAGUGACUGUAUCUGAUAAUGUAGGUUCUGAUAGAACUAGAUGAGUUAUGUCUUGUUCUGAUAUGACUGUAUCUAACAAUCUUAAAAUUGGAUAAUAUGAAUGUGAGAAUACAUGCAUGAAUACAUAAUCACUAUAACUGAGUUUGUGAUAACAUGAUUACUGAAUCUGAAUACUGAUAACAUGAGAUACUGAUAACUGUAUAACUGAAGUAACUAAUAUGGAGCGACUGUAUCUGACAAUCUAGGUUCUGAUGGAACUAGUUGAGUUUUGUGUUAUUCUAAGUUGACUAUAUCUGACAGUCUUGAAAUUUUAAAGAACUAUCUGAGUUCUAUUACUGAGACUGAAUAACUAUAUCUGAUAGUCCUGAUCUAUAACUGAAACUGUGGGAGGUAGUCAUCUAAUCGAUAUGGCUCAAAUAAUACAAUAUAGCUGAGUUGGGGUCUAAUCUGUAACCCUAAUUAGAAGGGUGUCAAUACCGCGCCACUGGUAAGGAUAAUCUGUGAGUAACCCUCAUAUAAUAGGUAAGUCUAGUAAGAAUGGUGGUAACCCUCAUAUAAUAGGUUAAGCCACCUUAUGGUAUGAUCUUUCAAACAUGAAUCAAAACCCCACAACAUCAUGAACAUGAAUUUCAAUUCAAUUUAAAUCAUGAACAUUCAUAAAUACAUAAAUUUUAGAUUUUGAAAAGAGAUUCUUGAGCUUCAUGGGUGAAAGGGACCCAUGAAUCAACACAUGACAUACCUUGAUUGUGAGUUUCUUGAAGUCCUUGGACUUGAAGAACUUGAAUCUCUUAGUUUCUUAAAGAAGGAUUUAGGUCUCUUUCUUGGGGAUUAUCUUUGAGAGAAAACCCUAAUUUGAUGUUAUAAAUGGAUAAUGAACUUAUAAGCCUUGAUCUGAUAUAAUUAGAGGUUAAAACGGGUGGAAAAAAACCCAAAUACCUUUUUAAAAUGGAUUUAAAAUAACUAAAUAAACUAUGCAACAGUGGGUGCGAUGGUCCAUCGCUGGGUCGAUGGUCCGUCAGUCCUAACCGUCGUACCUGGGCAGAAUAGGGGUUCAUUGCCUCUGCUGCGACAGCUUGGGUGAUGGUCAAUCACUAGCUCGAUAGUCCGUUGGUCUGAGCCAUUAUCCUUAUGCAGAAGGUGGUCUCACUGCCUCCGUUGCGAUGGUCCGUUACUAGCUCGAUGGUCCAUCGGCCCUCAUCGUCGCACCUGGCCAGUUUUGACUGCUUUCUGUAAAACAGCCACAACUUUCUACCCCGAUAACAAAUUUGGAUAAAAUUGGUAUCGUUGGAAAGCUAAUUCAAUUUCUCACAUGACAACAAUUGAAGAUUUUAAAAAUUCCAUGUAUAUAAAAGUAGAUUCAUCUUUCAAAGUAAGUUUCUAACAUACUUGCGAUGAUUUCAAGCUAAGUAGAAGUACGGAGUAUUACACGUAAUCAAAUUUGUAAGUUUGUGACUUGACUCUGCUCCGAGUACGAGUGGAUCACUAAGAGCCGUAAGGAUAGGUUAUGAGUUGUGAGGUAAAAUCGUAAGUUGUCCAGUGUCUAACCUCUUUGGGUUCUUUGUAUGAGUCAUAGGGUCUGGUUAUGAGUUGGGUGGUUGAGUCAUAAGGAUGACAGUGUAUUGGGGUCUUGGUUACACAUCAUGGUCACGAUUCGUAAGGAGUGGUUAUGAGUCAAUGGUUGACUCGUAGUCAAAGACGAUACUUUUUCAGCUUUUAAAUUGGGGGCAAUUUGGAUAUUUUCCACUUUAACCCUUUGGAAUCCACGACUUAAAACCUUCAUUGGUACUUCAUUAUCAUAUUAUAUUCUCAAUAAAACACUCCCAAAAUUCUCUCCCAAACUCUCUAUUCAAGCUAAGGCUAGGGUUUCAAAGAAAGUGAUCAUCUAGGGUUCUAAGGUUGUUAUCUCUUCCAAAUUUCUUGGAACUUCAGGCAUGCUACUCCUCCAUCAUUGUUAUUUUAUUAAAAUCAUAUAUUUUAAUGUAUGGCUUUCAUAGUAUUGUUAUUAAUUUAAAAUAAAUUUUAGGGGUUUUGAAUGCUUAUCGUUGAAUAAUGUUUUCCCAUGGUUUAAUUAUGGUUUCCAUGUUUUAAAUAUAGUUUUGAAUAUGUGGGUGCAUGGGUAUGGUGGUUGAACUUGAAAAUAGUAAUUUUCUCUAAACUUGUGACUUUUGAAGUGGUUAUGACUCCAACCUUGUAUUGUAAAAUUGGUUUGUAGUUAUGAGAAAGGUGGGAAUUUGGAUUAGGGGUACAAUAAAAUCCCCAAGGUGUCUGGUUUAACUUUUUUCUUGAAACUAAUGCAUGGAAUAAAUGGUUAAUUAGUUAAGGACAGUUUUGAAAACCUUGUGCGGUACACCAAAAUCCCCCAAGCAAAUAAUUUAUGAAAAUCUUAUUGGGUAUAUGGGUAUCCCCCAAGUGAUUUUAAUAAUGGAGUCUGCGGGGUAUAUGGGAAUCCCCUAAGUGUUGGCUUAAUGAUAUUGCUUGCAAGAUAUAGUUGUUAUGACGAUACUAAUUACUAAUGCCUUAAUAAUUGACUCCUAGAAUUGGUGGUUUGGUUAUGAGUUAAAUGUUUUAAUUGGGCAUAAUGGGGGUUGUGAUAGCUAGACGUGAAGGUGUGAGUCUGAAGGGCGGACACUAGAAACUCACGUUUACCGGCAUGAGGAUUGGUCUUGAUGACCAUGUGCUAAUGGAAUCCCUCAAGGCUAUACAUAUAUAUAUAUAUAUAUAUAUGUAUCAUGGAGGGUGAAGGGUACAAGGGAAUCCCCGACCAUCUAUGAUAUCUUUGGUUCGUGUGGCUACAUACACUAGGGCCCAUUCUUGGGUUAACACUGGACCCAUAUAGCCCAUGGGUGGAUUUAUGAUGGUAAAACUAUGCAACCUAGGCUAAUAUUUCAAAAUGCAUGCUAAACCUUAUUUUCUAUCCAGAUACGGUAUAUAUAUAUAUAUAUGUAAUUGCAUAUGUUUAUUCGCACUGGUUUGAUUUAGUUCUGAAUUAAAGGCAUUACUUUAUAUUUGUCCCUGAGUUACUUACUAGCAUUCACCCCACUAACCAUCUUCAGGUGUUGUAUCCUCACGUGAUGCAGGAAUUGACCAUACUUCCACUACUUCUGCUUAGUGACUUGGUGAUUCAGGGAUAACUUUUGAGUUAGACUGAAGUGGUGAGCUUCCAUACUCCGAAAAACCCCAUUUCAUGCUAUGGAUUUCUCUUUGUCGUUAUUAUUUCUUUGGUUUUGGUUUUGGCUAUGGUCGGGGGCUUCUCCCGAUUGGAUAUUCUUUAGUUUUGACUAGAGGCUUUUUUGGACUACUAUGGGCAUGGGCGACGUCAGUAUUGGUGUUAGAAUUGGUAUUAGUAUUGGUAUUGGGAUAAGAAUUAGAUGGUUAAUUGGUUAUGGAAUAUGGUUUUGGUUAUAGACUCAUUACAAUGUCUUUAAUUUUAUAUUGUCAUAUCUUGUUAUAUGUUCAAAAUUCAUCCGACAAGGGAUGCUAGGUAUGAUCAGUGGUUUGGGUAUUUAGGGGUGGUCUCGAAUCCUUGUUGGACUCAAAAUACCCAUCACGACCAUUCCCUGGUUCGAGUUGUGACAAUUUCAUUGUUCAACAUGGCAGCCUUACACUUCAAUACCAACUCACGGGAUAGCCCAGAAGCAAACUUCUUAAUUUGGAUCUCAUGUUAUCCACUAACUUCGGAGCAUAACGGGACAACUGUUGAAAUUUUAGAGCAUACUCAUUUACACUCAUCUUGUCCUGCUUCAAGUUCACAAACUCUUCAUCCUUAGAUUUCCUCAACUCCUUAGGAAAGAAGUGAUUAAGAAAAGCACCUAAAAAGUCAUCCCACAUAACCAACUCAGCACAUCACCCCUUAUCGCUUUCCACUUCUUAUACUAUUGAUAAGCUACAUAUUUCAAUUGAUAUGCAAUAAACUCUACACCCUCAGAAUUAGUAGCAUUUCAAUUGAUAUGCAAUAAACUCUACACCCUCAGAAUCAGUAGCAUGCAUAACUCGAAAAAAUUUCUCCAUAUCACCAAUAUACCCCUAAGGAUCCUCCUUAACCUUAGAGCUGUAAAGGUUGGGGGAUUCAACCUUAUAAACUGGACAACCUGAGUGACCUCAAAUGAAUGAGCAACAGAACCAACAUAAUCAAACUGAGGAGACUAUGAUACCAUUAACAGAGUAAUAAUAUGGAUAGACUGGAGUAACUCCGCAUUAGAAAUAUCUCCCUGAGGUGACUGAGCAUAAGUAUCACCAGCUCAGGGGGCGCAAAGAGGACUAGUAAGGUCUGAUGGAACUCCAUGUGGAGCAGUACAGUCAAGAUUAAGGACCAUAGACCAGGUAUGGACUCCAUAAAUAGGGCAAGUCCUCGUCACGUUUUCCUCGGGUGAGAUAGAGGUUCUAGCAGAGUUUUUAUGAAUGCCAGAUAUUCGGGGAGGCAUGACCUGAAAUAUGAGUAAGCCAAGAGUUAGAAAAGUUUCAAGACAACUAGACUCUAUAGCUUGAAAUAGAACAUAAGAAAAGGAAACAUUCCUAAAUGCCAGCACAUAAAUGGAAAGAUACCACCACGUUGUGGUAUCUUUCCAGUUCGCAACCAAGGUGGCAAUAUGAUUUCCACCGCGUCGCGCCAAGGUUCAGUUUCCCAAUUGUCCAAUUUCCAAUAAGCUGGCGCGAUUAUGGCGCGUCGCGCCAGCACAUAAAAUCGGGAUUUUUCUAGUUCUGGAUUUUCAUUCCAAGGGCAAAAAUAGUCUUUUCGCAACCCCUAUAUAUACUCUUGAGAUUCAACACAUUUACACCCAAAUAUUGUUGGUUUCUCUCAAUUUAUUCAAGAACAAAACCUAGGGUUUCUAAUCAAAGACCCAAAUCAUUAAGGUUUCACCGUGACUCUUUCAAGAAUUACAUAGCAAGGAAUAUUAGAUGUUGAUUCUUGGGUUCCUUCCACCCAAGAAUUUCAAGAAUUCUUUUCUAAAUUCAAAGAUCUUAUAUUUAUAGAGUUUUCAUGAUUCAUGUGAAUUGAAAUUGAAGUUCAUGUUAUUAUUUAGUUUUAAUUCAUGAUUUAGACUACCAAUUUCAAGAGUUGAUUCUAGUAUAUGAUGAAUUAUAUGAUGUUCAUGGUAAACCCUCUCCAAGUUGCAUGAUAUUAAUGUAUUCAUGAUGAUUAAGUAUAGAAUAUGUAGUAUAACCAAAGCAUGCUCCUCAUAUGUUUGAUAAAAUGCUUAUGUGAAGGAAUUAAAGCCGUUAUAGCAUGUUGACUAGAAAUCCCCAAUUGUGUGUAAGUUCAUGCAUGCCAAGUGUUUUUUGAAAAGCCUUAGUGAAUGAAUUGUGAAAUGUUAGCAUGAAAUUCCCUAAUUAUGCGCUCUUAAAUGCAUGUAAAAUGUAUGUUGUAAGACCUUGUUGAAUAGAGUAUGAGCUAGUAGCAUGUCUCCCUAUACUAUUACAUGUUUAUGAUUUCCAAGUGCUUUAAGAGAUGCUUUAAUGAUUGUAAUGGUGAAUGAAAGUCCAUGGUCAUGAUUAUUUAUGAUGGUUAUAUUUUACUUGUAUUUUAUCGUGUCCUAAGGGUAAUUAUACCCGAUAAUUUAGUUACAAGUCUAGAGCCCGUGUCAGUUUUCACGAUAAUCUCAGUCAAGUCACGAUUCUUAGAACUCAGUCAGUUAUAGAAUUCAGUACUCUCAAACAGUUAUAGAACUUAAGAAAUCUCAGUAAUCCAAGUAUCAUUAGCAUUCCAGCUUCAGUUCAGUACUCAGCUCAGAUCUUAGUAGUUUUCAAUAUUCAAUUCAGACCUUAGUAGUAUUCCGUCAGUCAACGGAACCAAGUGAAUUCAGUCAGAUCAGUCAAGAAAUAUGAACAGUAACAGAUUCAGCUUAGUCUAGUACAAUCUAAGUAUUAGUUCAGUGUCUAUUCAGUUGGGAGUAGGAUUCAGCACCGAGCAAGGGCAGAGAUGGCGGAUUCCUUAUUAUUUAGGCAGAGUCAUUAGUAGCAAUCCCUAUACCUCCAGAACUGCGGAGCCAGUGCAGGAUGAGGAGUCACUCGUUAUAUUAGGCUUGACUACCUCCUAGGAGACACCCAUUAUAUUAGGAUUGGCUCCAACCAAGUGUCACCCGUUAUAUUAGGCAUGGCAUUCUGGGUUCAGAGAGAAGUGUCUUUACCCAUGGCAUGGUACUGACACCCUUCCAACUGGGGUACAGGUUGGACCCUAACUAGCUAGAAGAGGCAUGUCGGUUAGAUGACUAUCUCCCACAGUCUUAAUUUCAGAUCCAGUCUCAGUAAUAGAAGUCAACAGAGGAGUGACCCGUUAUACUAGGCUUGACUACCUCUCAGAGAUCACCCGUUAUAUAUAGGCUUGAUCUCAGAUUCAGACAAUCAUAUUCAUUAUCAGAUGACUCAGAGAUCACCCAUUAUAUAGGCUUGAUCCCAGAUUCAUUUUAUCCAGUAUCAGACAUCAUUACCAGUAAACUCAAAGGUCACCCGUUAUAUAGUCUUGAUCUCAGAUAUAAUAAAUCAGUAUCAGUAUCAGCAAGAUUAGACAUCAAUCUCAAUAGACUCAAUUAUUCAGUCUCUCAGUAUUAGCAAACUCAGACAUCAGUACUAGUAGACUCAGUCAUCAGUAAGUCAGUAUUCAGAAACCCAUAUUCAGAGUUCGUAUUCAGUGUUACUGCAAUUCUAGUUUUGGUUUGUGCAUUCAUACAUAUGUCCUCCUUCAGUACUCUCAUGUUAUUCAAAUAAGUAACUGUUCAUGCAUAAGCCCCUGCAUGUAGCCUUACCUCAUCUAGAAUACCAGUACAUUCAAAGUACUGACACAUACUUUUCUAUUGCUCUAUGGUGUCUUAUACCAUAGGUUUAGAAGCGCGAGAUCCAGAGCACCCUUAGCAGUCCAGACUCAGUCUGCAGUAGUAGACGUAGUAGUGAGUCCUCUUCAUUCGAGGAAGAUCCUUAUUUUAUUAUGGCAUUAGAUUCAGUUUAUUUUUAAUAGACAGAGUUAGUUGGGGGCAUGUCCCAUCAGCUCCACAGUUUAGACAGUUAGAGGCUUUUCGAACAGAUGUAUUAGUAUUCAGCUUUUAGUAUUGGUUAUUUUAGAUGUUUUGAACCUUAUGGUAAGUUGUCGGCAUUAUUCAGUAUUCUUAUACAAUUAUUGCAGCAGGUACCAAAUAAGGGUUAGCUUGUGGUCCUUCGAGAUUAUGAGCACCAUGUGGCAUUCUGAUUCUAGAAAAUUAGGGUGUUACACCUUAUAACCUCCCCCUUAUAAGUAUGGUGUGUUACACACCCAUAAAAGAGACUCCACUCGACACGACUUUGUAGACAUCCAAGGACCCUAAACCAUGCUCUGAUACCAAGUUUGUCAUAACCCAAAUCAGGGCCUAAUAUUGAUGGGUAUCUCAAGCCCACUAUGAGUCGGAGACCACCCCCUAGCCUAACAUCCAGAACACAAUAAAAUAAUACAGUAGAAGCCAACCAAAUAGUAAUAAGAAGGAUAGAUAGUCAAAUGUGAAUUCUAUUAAUAAAAAUCGAUAUCCAACUAACACUUUUCCAUAAGAGCCUAUAAAACCAGAAUGCCAAUAAGUCGGGACAUGCCUCCGACCAUGACCAAAAGAAUCUAAAAUAAAAAUAUUAAAAAUAAAAAAAGGUAGAUAAAAUAACUUGGCCUUUAGAUAGAUGGAGGCUUACUACUUCACAACAACUCAAUAGAUUUAUCGAACUAUCUAACAUUGCACAGGAGCAACAGAACACCCUUCGAACCCUAUAUCAUGAAAUGAUGUAGCGUCCAGGGACAGUCAGUAGGAUAAGCACUGGCAUAUAACUCAGGAAAAAUGAUAAAAUGAUGUUAAUGCCAUAAACCAGUCAAAACCAUAUGCACAAUAAUUAUACAUACAUAUAUAGGAUAUCGGGAUAGGGGCAAGGGUCAUGAACGUGAGAGUUUAGAUCAUUAAACUCAACUGCGUAGCUCGCUCCAUCCUAAAGUCACCUACUGGCUAUAUUGGUCCAGCUUCCCUUACUUAAAGGGUCCAGUGUAUGUUAGCCACACGAACCAAGGAAUCCAUAAGAAGGGCUAAAGACACCAAGGCUCUAGCUAUCCCAAAAUAUAAUAUGUGAAUCAAACACACGAUCAUAUAGACCCCUAUGCCGACAAACAUGGUUUCCAGUGUUAGUUCCCCCAGGACUACACCUUUAUGGUGAGUUACAACAUUUCCUUUAAGCCUAAAUAAAAUAGUUUGCAUAUAAACCCAACCAUUAACCUAGAAGUCUUAAAAUAAGGCAUUUAGCACUAGGCAUCAUCAUAUCAAUUUUGCUUGAACUAUCAUAUAAUCAUGCCAAACCAAUCGAUGCAACCAUUAAACUACUAAGUUCCAUUUAAGAUCCAAACCAUGGCCACCAAAGGCCUUUCAAAUCCUUUUUAACCAAUUAUCCAUUAAUGCAAUGCAAUGGAUUUAUGAACAAGUUGAAUUAUGCAAUUAUCCAUGUUCAAAAAAACUAAAUUUACAAAGUGGAUUGGGGUUAAUGCCAUUACUAAGCCAACAAGGUCAUCAAUUUGGUAAAACCCAUGUUCCCCAUUCCAAUUUCCAUAACAAUGCACCCAUUCAGUCCAAAAUCAUAAAUUAUAGCAUAACUUAUCAAUUUAAAACAUGAAAGAAGUAAUUCAAGUAAUACCAAUCAAAAUCCCUCAAGCCAAUUUCAAACUCAUUAAUUCAAACCACAUGGAUAAUGAGUAAAAAAGUGCCACAAUAAAAAAUUAAAGUUAGGGAAUAAGAUACAUGCCUAAAAUACACAAGAAAUUGAAGUAAAUUCAAAAGAGCUUGGAUAGUGAAUCCUUUGUAAAAACCUUGAAUUUUCUUUGUUUAAGCAUUAAAUAGGAAGAGAAUGGUAUUUGAUCCUAAAAACUGAAGAAAAAAGGGUAUCUUUUAUGUUUAAAAGUCAUGAAAAGGGUAAAAAGGACAAAAUUCUCUCACUCCAAGUGAAAAAAAAACAAAACUGGACAAACUUAAUAUAGCAGAGUGGAACACCAAUAUCACGGAGGGUUGUCUCCAUUCCACGCCCUUAUCGUGGAGGCUAACCUCCAUGGCAUGCUAAUAUUGUAGGCCCUCACAGCCUCAGGGUUCCAAAAUGACCUUGAACCCUUUUCAAAAAUUCUGAGACUUUCCCAACACACCCUUUAACAUCCCUAAAUAUAAUUCAAGUCAAAAAUUAAUAUUAUGAAUGCAGGAGGAUCAAAAAUAAAAUUAUUAAAAUUUUAUGAGGUCUUAUAGUAAGGUGACCAAAAAAGGACCCUCUGGAAAAAAAAGAACAAACCAAAUUUCAAAAAGAAAAAAUAUUUUUUCAAAAAUAAAUAUGAGCAAGAGUAAGUGUUAUAAUUGCCAAGCUCUAUGGUAUUUUGCUCGUGAUGUUUCCUGAUAAGAAAAGAUAGAAUUUCUAAAUGCAUCUCUGAGUACUACAUAUAUUUCUAGCACUGUAUUAAUAAUUGAAUCUUAUCCUAUAUGAAUUUUAGACUCGAGAGCCACCAACCAUGUGAGUCAUGAUCGAGAAGAAUUUAUGGAGUUCCGUUGAGUUUCACUGGGGUUAAGGUAGACAUGUAGAAAAUUAUGCAAGAUUAAAGUCAUAAGGAUAGGCACUUGUAAAGUGGACUUGCGUGAUGACCGAUCUUUAUUAUUUCAUGAUGUCAUAUAUGUUUCAGAGCUUCGAUGAAACUUAGUAUCUGUUUCUAUUUUUUAAAAUGAUGGUUUUGAUUUGCUUUUUAAUAACAAUGGUGUUAGAAUAACUCUAAACAAUAUUUUUUCUGGUUUUGGACUUCGUUAUGAUCACUUUAUCAUUUUUGAUUGUAAGCCUUUAUUUUAUGACAUGCUAGAUUGAGUUACAUAGAACAAGAUCGAAAGAAUAUAUUGACAAAGGAAGAACAUCUAGGUUCAUUCUCCAAAAUUGAUAUGCUAAUAUGUGAAAAUUGUCUUGCUGAAAAAAUUAUGUAAACCUUUUGGGAAGGCUAAAAGAGAUAAAUUUUCCUUACAAUUAAUCCAUUAUGAUAUCUUUGGUCCAAUGAAUGUUAGGGAAAGGUAUGAUGCUUUAUAUUUCAUUGCAUUCAUUAAAAGUUUCUCACCUUUCAAUUAUGUCUAUUUGAUUCUCAUAAAUCCAAAACACUUGAAUAUUUCAAAAGAUAUAUAAAUAAAGUUGAGAAUCAAUUUGAUAAAAGUAUAAAGGCUUUAAAACCCGAUAGAGGUCAUGAAUAUUUGUCAAAAUAGUUUGAAAAAUUAUGUACUAAAAAGGACAUUAUCAGACAGUUAACUACUCCUUUACACCUCAGCAAAAUGAUGUAAUUGAAAGAAGUAGAACAAUGUUGUAUAUGCAAGGUCUAUGACAGUACAGACAAAAUUAUUAAUCUCCUUUUGAGGAGGAUGUGUUAUUAGAUGCGGCCUACAUAAUGAAUAAGUAUCUUCUAAAUCAAUAUCGCCUACUCCUUAUGAACUAUGGACUAUUCAUAAGCCAAACCUUAAUGAUCUACGCCUUGGGAUUGUGUUGCAUAUAUUAAAAAUGAUUUUAAUGAGUUUGGUAAACUAAGUCCAAAAUGAAAGAAAUGUAUCUUUUUAAGUUACUUAGAACACUCCAAAGGAUAUGUGUAUAUUAGUGAAUUGGAGGACGAAAGUACUACUGAUAUUGAAUCUUGAGAUGUCACAUUUUUGAAAAAUAAUUUUCCCAAAAAGGGUGGAAUAAAUUAUAGUCUCUUUACAAAAUACUAAAAACUCAAAUAAUCAGAUAAUGUCGUUGGACGUAUUUUAUAAUCCAAUAGAUCAAAAAAUAGUUCCUGAUCCAAGUGGGAGUUUUAAAUUCCAAAAUACUAUGGAGGAAUGUGAACUUUAAUUACGUAAGAGUACUAGAAAAGGAGUACCUAAAUAAUCUUAUUAGAUUGAGGAUUAUGUUUUCUUGGUAUAUCCUACAUAAUUGGAUGAAACUAAUUUUUUAAUUGAAGCUUCAAGCCCUGAAAAAAAUUUCACGACCCGAACUAGGGCCUGGCCGUGACGGACAUCCCGAACCAUGAAGGCCGAGAUGUCCUAAUCUAUCUGAUCUAGUAAUCAUGCACAACAUUCAUAUAAUAAAAGAAAAUGCGGAAUUAUAAUCUAAUACGAAAACAUGGUCAUACUCUGGAUUCAGUUUAACAAUAAGGAAUGAAAUCCGAAAGCAACUAAACCACAUCUGGAACAGUCUGCGAAAUCUCCACUACAUGAUUUGAAGACAAGUGUCUGAAAAGUUAGGACAAGGCCCCAGUAGACCAAAAUAAAGGAAUAACAUAAUAUGAAAUAACAGUCCUUCUGGAACAAAGAAGGCUCACCACUGUACGGAUCAUUUCUUUUUGGAUAAUCUACUAAUUAGCCGGGUCUCUAGACUGAGCCUCCAAACCUGGGAGGUAGGGCUCAAUACAAUUGUACUGGUACGCAGAGCAAAUCCAAAAUAAUAAUUUAUAUUCAAUAUAUAUGAGAGCAAUUUAAAAUAGUUUAUAAAAAUAUCAUAUGGUAAGGAAUCACAUGGACAUUUUCAAAAGAUUUUGUAAAAUCAUCUGAACUCUGUGACACUCUUUAUUUUAUUUCUGCGCUAGGUGGUAUACCCUACAACUCUGAAAUUCCACGGGCUAUAUGAAAUCCGUCAUUGACUCGCCCUACAACCCAAGUGUGCCGCAAGGGUUACUUGAACUCAAGCCUUUUUCAGGUAACCACCUAACCCCCUUUAAGCCAAUUUUUAACUCUUUAAAACAUGCAUUCUCUGAAAACAUACUUUGUUAUGGCAUACAUACAUAUGGUAUCGUCAUACCAUUGACUUGCAAGUCACAUCUCUGAUCCAUUAUUAGCAUAUUACAAUCUCUAUUUUCAAAACAUAAAUUUGGGACCACCCUAUCAAUAAAUCAUUUCAAAGAACUCUUUCUCUAAAACUCGUGUAAACACAUGUAUGCAACUCUCUUUGUCAAACUUUCAAUGAUGCAAGGUGGCCAUGUCAAAACUCUUAAUCUCAUGCAAAUCUUUCUCUUUUAACAAAAUAUAUUUACAUCAAGAAACUUCCUCUCUUAAAUCUCUAAAUCAUGCUCAAAAUACUAUGGUAUUUGAGUAAACUAUUUUCAAGCCAAAAAUCAUGCAUUUCAAAUCAUUCUCAACCGUUUCAUAAACUCUAAAUCACCAAAGAGAGAGAUUUCAAUGAUAAUGCCCUCAAUCAAAUUUUUAAUAUCAUACAUAUACAUAUAGAUGUAAAUCAAUUUAGGGGGAAAGGCCUAAAGAUCAAAUCACAAUAAAAUUAAACAUUCAUCAAGCAUAAUAAAGUCAUGUUUUCCAAAACCCUUUUGUAAAUUCAUUCUUGAUAGAUCUUUAAAUCAUACUUGAAUAUUUCAACAAGUCCAUGUAGUUUUAGGAUAAACCCCACGUAUCUUAAUUUAUGACUCUUGAAUGAACUCAUGUUUUAGGAAUACUAUUUAAACAAUUGAUGGGUGCUUCUUGUAGCCCUCGCAAUGGGAAUUCCGAAUCUUGAAGAAUUAUUGAAAACCCACGAUGAAAUCUUAAGAUAUUUUGAUCUUUGGGUUGAUACCCUAAGAAGUGUUCUUGGUGAUUUUGAGAGAAUAACCUUAUUUUGGUGUUUGGGGGAUUUAAUCCCGUGUUAUGGCUGAAUAGGGGGUGGAAAAUACCAUUUUUGUCCUUAAAAAUGUGAAAACAGGACCUAAAAAUUGGAUGCAGGUGACAGGACGUGCAUCACACGCUAAUCGCGCGAUGUUACUAUCUUAGUCACGAAAAUGGCCAUAACUUUUCGCUCGGGUAUCAAAUUUUAGCGAAAUUGGUAUCGUUGGAAAGAUAAUUCGAAGUGAUUUCAUUUUAUAUAUAGUAGGACCUUCAAUUAUUUAUAUACAAAUAGUUAUAGUCGAUUGAAUUUGACCUAAGUUUUGACGCUCACUCAAACUCGAACGAUAGGAAAGCUUUCAACUCGUCCUUGAGUUAGAGGACCUCUAUGAUCUCAAUCCAUGCUCAAAUAGGUUUUCAAACUACAUAAUUGAUUAACAUGCCAAAUUUGCAUAGGAUUUAUGGCUUUCUAAUCAUCUACGCAUAGAAAUGAUGAUUUUCAUUCUAGCCCGAAAUGGGGGGUGUUACAAAGAUGAAUGGAUAAAGCAAUGAAAUAAGAAUUAGAGUACAUGAAAACUAACAAAGUAUGGAAUCUAAUUGACCUUCCUCAUAGACUUAGAGCUAUUGGAAAAAAAUAAAUUCUUAAUUAACGCAAAUUAGAUUGGUCAAUUAAAAAAUACAAAGCAUGAUUGAUAGCAAAAGGUUUUACUCAAGAAGCUGAAACAGAUUAUGAGGAAAGUUUUUCACAAGUUGUGAAGUUCACCUCAAUUUGCUUACUUUUGGCUAUUGUUGUACGUUUGAAUUUAGAAUUAUAUCAAAUGAACGUGAAGACUAUUUUUCUCAAUGAAAAGCUAAGCGAAGAAAUCUACUUGAAACAACCUAUAGGUUUCGUUGUUUAAGGCCGAGAAAAGAAAGUAAAUUGAAUAGAUCAAUUUAUGGUCUAAAGCAGUUUUCAAAGCAAUGAUACCUGACAUUUCACAAGGAAGUAAUUUUAUUUGAUUUUACCAUGAUCGAUGAAGAUCAUCGUGUCUAUGUGAAAAAGUCAAAUUGAAUGUUUGUAAUUCUUUCCUUAUACGUGGAUGAUAUUUUAUUGGCCAAAAAUAGUUUCAAGUAUGUGAAAACUAUUAAGUUGUGUCUGUCAAGGCCAUUUGACAUGAAAGACAUGAGUGAAGUUGACUAUAUAUUGGGUGUUAAAAUUCAGAGGGAUCAUUCCAAGAAGAUUUUGAGUCUAUCCCAAAAAACAUACAUAAAGAAAUGUUUUGAACGUUUUUGAAUAAAUAGUUGUAAACCUAUCGAUACUCCUACAGAAAGAGGUGAAAUUUUAAACCUUGAAAUGACCCAAAGAUUGAAAAAGAAAAGAAAGAUAGGUCCUGAGUUUCAUAUUCAGUGUUGUUAGGAGCUUGAUGUACGUUAUGAUAUGUAUUCGCCCAUAUAUUUGUUAUGUCACAGAUUUAGUUAGCAGGUAUCAAUCCAAUACUAAAAGAGAUAAUUGGAAAGCAGUAAAGAGAAUUUUCUGAUAGCUAAAGGAAACUGCAGAUUAUUCACUAUACUAUAGUGGAUAUGAAGAGGUUAUACAGAUGUUGAUUGGAUUAGUGAUAGGUAUGUUAGAAAAAACGAUCUUCAGUUAUGCUUUCAUAAUGGUGGUGCUAUUUCGUGAAAUAGUAAGAAACAAACUUGCAUAGCUCUUUCCUUAAUUUGUGGCUUGUGCAUCUGCAGUAAAAAAAAGUUAUUUGAUUGAAGAGAAUCUUUAAGCAUUUAAAUAUUACAAAUAAUGUUUGAAAAACAUGUAAUGGCUCCAGUUUUGUGUAGGCUAUAAUAAGAUUUCUAUAUUGUAAAAUGUCUUGGUUGUUAUAACAUUCUAAUCAUUAAAAGACACUUGAAUUUAUGUUCAUAUCUUUAUGCAUGUGAUAAUGUGUUUUUAUUGAAAAAAUAUGUCGAACAAAUCACGAUAUUGACUCUCUCACAUGAGCAAUCGUCUCCUAUGUUGAGAACAAGAAGAUAUGAGUUCCACCACCAUGUUAUGACUUAUUUUGCAAGCUAGCAACGAGUCACUAAGAAGAUGAGUUUGAGGAUCAUUAAAGAGAGAACUCGGGUCAGAAAUCUAGAUGUGUCUAGACCAAGAUUUAUACUAUGUUAAAUAACUAAAAGAAUGAGACUAGAACACUAAUAUAAGGAGAGAACAUCGUAGCACGUGUUUCAUACCACGUGUGCUUAGCGAUCAAUGGACAAAUAAAAGAAUGGUUCCUUUCUUCUUCAUUGUGUGAGAUCCUAAAAUUUACAUUAACUUUUAUUUCUUGUUUUUUGUAAUUAAAGUAUUUCAUUAAUACCAAUACAACAACAUUACAAAACUAAAUAGGCCUGAAUCCUGUUUCUCACUAUCCCUAUUAAUUAUAUCAACAAUACAGGAUUAGAUAAAUUUCAAAACUAAAGCUAUAUAAUUAUAUAAACCAUUAAACAGACUCCACUACCAGCUUCCUUAGUGUAUGUGUCAAGGAAUGUGAUUUAAGAUCUACAAGCAAGGUUGCCCACUUCUUCAAACUUGCACCUCUAGUGUGGAUGCAGAUGGUUAUCUUCCUAGUUAGUCUCUCUAGCUAAAAAUGACCCCCUGAAAGCGCAUCAAAUUUCCUUCUCUCCAAAUUACUAUAACUACCAUUGCAAAAGCACGGCUGAAGAUACCACAUUGUUUGGAUUUUUCUUAGCCCAGAAUAUUGCCCUAACUACUUCAUCUUGCUGACUUCCCACUGUCAUUCUUUCACCCAUCCAGUGUAGCAAUCUGCUCCACAAACUCCUAGUAAUUUUACCUGAAGAAAAAAGUUCCAAUGUUUCCUCAAGGUCUUCAUAGAAAAUGCAAGCUCCAGGAACUUUAUACCAACUUUCUGCAAUCUUACUAAAGUAGGCAAUCUUUUAUGCAAAGCCAGCCACAAACAAAACUUAUGUUGAGGAUGAAUGGCUGGGUGAGUGGUGAAUUUCCUCCAUUACAUCUUUGGAAAGAGGGGUCUGAGAGUGAUAUACAUCUUCUUAAUGCUGAAUUUAUUACCAUGUACCAUCAUUUGUAAUUUGUUGCAUAAACCACUAUGCAGAGACUGGCUAGUCAUGAUGAACCUUCUUGACUUUAUAAUCUUCCUAAUUAUCCAAGUUGCAUUACUCAGAUUAAGCAAAUUUCAACCGCCUCACUCUCUAUAUAGUAGAUGUGGAUCCAUUUCACCCACAAGCAAUCUUUCUUUAUUUGAAGAGCCCAUAGUUGUUUAAGUAUUGCAACCCUAUUCUAAGUACACAGUUAGAAGACAUUCAAACCAGAUGCUCCUCUAGAUUGACAUACUUUUCCUAAUAAACCAAUGCUCUCUUGGAGUUUGCCACAUAUUCAGUCUAUAACUAGGUCUUGUACACUUGUUCUAUCAGUUUCAUGAUCUUUUUGUGAAGAAUGAACAUUUAAGCGCAAUAUGUUUGCAUUCCAAAAGCUAUAGACUUUAUAAGUUGUAACCACCCAACAUAAUUUAGUAAUUUGGUUGUCCAGCACUUCACUCUCUCGGUAAUCUUGUCCACCACAGGCAUGCAUUGACUUAUAAUAAGUUCUUUUAUUAUGAAAGCACUCCCAAAUAUUUAAAAGGUAAUGAUCCUUCAUUGUAUUCCAACAACCCGAGAAUAUCUUGCUUUACAUUAGGCUUAAUACCCAAGAAGUAAAUUGAGCUCUUUUGACAACUUGCUUGUAAACCAAAAGCCUCUGAGAAUUUCUCAAUAGCUUGUUUUAUAUAGAGCUAACUGCUUUUCUGUCUUGCAAAACAUUAAGAGGUCAUCAACAAUAAAUAUGUAUCAAUUUCAGCCUUCUCCGCCUUGGAUAAAACUAAAAAAAGGGUUGUUUGCCAUCACUGUUAUCACUCUAUUCAAAUAUUCCAUGGCUAGGACAAAAAGAUAGGGUGAUAUAGGAUCACCCUGUUUAAUGCCUCUUUUACCCUGAAAAGGUUCUCUUAGGCUACCAUUAAUCAUUGAGUAAGUAACAGAAGAAACACACUCUAUCACCCCAAUUUAUGAACUUAAUUGGAAGCCUAAAUCUGCAAGAACACACCUUAAGAAAUCUCAUUUUAUAGAAACACACGCUUUUUGGAGAUCAACAUUUAUAACACACUUAGAGGGCAUGUAUCUCCUUGUGUACCAUUUUAAAAUAUCAUGACUAAUUAACACAUUAUCCAUAAAACUUUUUCCUUUAAUAAAAGUUGAUUGGGAAGGGCUCACUAUUGAACCAACUCCACUCUUAUGCCUAUUAGUUAAGAUCUUAGUAAUGAUCUUAUACAUAGUGGUGCAACAUGCUAUGGGUCUAUACUUCUUUACAAUAGUAGGAUUAGGCACUUUUGGAAUAAGGGAAAUGGCAGUACUACGAAAAGACUUGAACAUGUUACCUUUCCAAAAAAACUCUUCACUGCAUUACAAAUAAAAGGCUGCACUGUUGACCAUUGUUGGUUGAAGAAUUCUAUAGGAUAACCGUCUAUUCCAGGAGCCUUUUCUAAAAGUAUCCCUUUGACAGUAUCUAGUAUCUCCUGGUUAGUUACUACUUGAAUUGGUGAGCAUGUUUGGUCAUAGGUAGAUAAUGACCACUCUUUAUAACAUCAACAUCUGGAUAAGGCAACACUGCUGUUGAGGUGCCCAUAAGGUUUUGAAGCCUACAAUGAACUUUUCUCCAUCUCCUCUGGUUCAAUGAGCAUUAUACCACCCUCAGUAUAUAUGGAAUUUAUACAUUUUCUGCUUGAUCUAAUCUUCAGUUGGGCAUGUAAAUAUUUUGUGUUUGAAUCACCACUGGUGAUCCAUGUGACCCUUUUUUGGCGUAAGAAUAUGUUUCUCAAUAAAACUCCACUUAGUGAUCUCUUGCAAUAUGUUUUUUCAUCUUCAAUUAGAGUCUGAUCUUGAGGCCUGCUGCUCAUCUGAGACUUAAUAGCAUCUAACUGUACUUUAGCCUGCUGGAACCUUUGAGAAUAGAAAGCUAAGUAAGUAUUCAACCCCUUCAGUUCUUACUUCAAAGUUCUUACUAAUCUGUUAAUUUCGUAUUUCACUAGACCCUGAAAAUUAACACGGUUCAUCAUAGUUGAGUACAAUUUAAAAGGAUUUGGUUUCAUAUUUGUAACUGGUCUAUGUUCCAGCACAAUUAGAGAGUGAUCAGGGAUCCAGGAUUAAGAAACUCUAUCUCAACAUGCCCAUAAAUUUGUAGCCAGUAUAUGUUUCCAAAGGACCGGUCUAUUUUUAACUCUAGAGCCCUGGUCCUACUUAUUACAGAAAGUAAAAAAACAAUUCUUAUUCAUUAGAGCAGUAAGUUGACGUUCAUCCACCCAUUCCUGGAACUCCUAAGUUUCAGGUAGGAUCAAACCAGAUCCAAACCUAUUUUCAGAACUAAGUACAACAUUAAAAUCUCCACUUAGGAUCCAGGGUUAAUGUUCCUUCGCAACUAAAUCAAGUCAUUUCACAAUGAUCUCCUAUUAUGCGCCUCAUUCUUUGCGUAAACAACAGUAAAAAGAAAAGGAAAAAAAGAAGAGAUCACCCUACAAUAUAUAAACAGUUCACUAAUCUAUAAAAGUGCACUUGAACUUGGGGCUUACACAUAAGCCAAAUGCUGCAAUUAGAUGAGAUACUUAGAUUUCGUAGUCCAACCCUGAGACACCUUAUUUACCAUAACAGUUGCUUUAUAUUCCUUUCCUCUAGUUCCAAGACAUUCAAAAACCUCCACUUUAUACUUAUUCAAAAGAGUCAGACCUAUUUUUGCUUUUAGGGCUGAUUUAAGCCCCUAAUGUUCCAUAUGGAUAUGAUCAUGGAGGGUAAUGUGACCCCCCGGAUCAGUGAUCAAUCCAGAUUCACAUGUCCCCUCAAAUACCAUCUCUCGUAAGCAUUCAUAUUUUAUCAACGUUACACUCUUUUGUUUCAAUCUGGACUGGUUUUCAUCUGAUUCAAUCACCCGUGAGGCACCUUGCACAUUUGAAUCCAUUACUGGUGGUGAUUCCUCCUUAGGUGGUGGUAUGUAAACUUUAGCUGCAUUUUUAGCUUUUUCUCUGUACGUUUAAUGCAGUCUUGGUGUGUAACUCUUUUAUUACCCCUACGCUCUCUGUUACAGUUUCUUCUUCGAGGGGCCUCUUGAAAGUCUUUAGUUGUUGUUGCUUCUUCUUUAUUCUACACUUAUCUUCUUCAUGCCCAAAGUGCAUACAAUGAUGAAAAACCUUUGCCCUCCACUCAUAAUCUACAAAUUGCGUAUAAUUUCCAUCGGAUGAAGCACUUUCAACUGAUUCCACUAAAAGCUGAUCUAUAUCCACCUCUACUAAAUUUGAGCAUAAGAUAUUCUUUCUAUUAUUUCAGUAACCUUAUCCGAGUACAAUGGAUCCCCUAUUGCACUCGUGAUUUUACUUAGUGCUCAACUGGACCAGUAACCCACAGGCAGAAUCGGCAACGUGACCCAGAUGGGAAUGGUUGUAAUGCAAUUCGGGUUAAAUUCAAAGUUAAUUGUCCAAGAUUGAACCAUAAUUGGUUUAUUAUGAUAAGUAUAAGGACCUCUCGUAAACACCUUAUCGUGGUUCUUCUUCGAUUCAAAUUGAAGAUGAAAUACCCAUCGUCAUGAGCUAAGACUUAUGUCUUCUUAGCAAAUCACCAAACAUUCGCAAUAUACAGCUCCAUUCUCCUCAGAUAUGGGGCAUCCCCCAUUACAUAGCCAAUUAUCGAAGUUUCCAGUUCUUCACUCGAGACUUAAGAUCAGCUUCAUCAAGUAUUACUAUACAUUUUCCUCAACUUAUAUUAGGGGCAACAUAUGCAAAGGAUUUCCUCCUUUAUGGUUGUAGAUUAUCCUACAAUUUAGGCUUCUCUUUCUAGGUCUAAUUUGUUGUUGUCGCUAUAGAAAAUUAUAGAUGUCGAGCCGCCAAGGUUGUACUAAUUUCCACAAAAAUUCACCAGUUGAAUAGAAUCUGCUGAGGUUUUUUUAUGUUCCCUCUCCCUCCUAUGGGAUCACGCAGAAUUGCGGAGGGAGAUAAGUAUCACAAGUAAUAGGCGAACUUCAUGAUCUAUGUACGUCGACCGACGUUUUUUUUGCCAGUAUAUUUGCUGAGCUAAGAUCCAUUUUCUUGGGAUCAGUGCACGUUAGCAAACCAUGCUAAAAUACACCGAGAGAGCAAAUAUGGCUCCCAUAAAUGGGGUCUUAAAGUUGAUGUCCAUUUGACCUUUGGUUGUUU